rnacentral:tRNA from 1 species
GCGUGGUAUAGCUUAGUGGUUAAAGCACCAGCCUUUUAAGCUGUGGACUCGGGUUCGAUUCCCGGUACCCGUA